rnacentral:rRNA from 1 species
GACGUAGGUGGCAAGCGUUGUCCGGAGUUAUUGGGCGUAAAGCGCGCGCAGGCGGUUCGGUAAGUCCAUGGUGAAAGCGCCCGGCUCAACUGGGCGAGUGCCGUGGGGACUGCCGAGCUGGAGGGGAGCAGAGGCGAGUGGAAUUCCGGGUGUAGUGGUGAAAUGCGUAGAGAUCCGGAGGAACACCAGUGGCGAAGGCGGCUCACUGGACCGGUACUGACGCUGAAGCGCGAAAGCGUGGGGAGCAAACAGG